CCCUCGUCCAAGGGGAGCCCCGCGUGAGGGGCUGAGAGACUGCUGUGCCGAUGGCCGUGCGGAAACCCUUUGAACCUGAUCCGGGUGAUGCCGGCGUAGGGAUGGAUCCAUCGGUCAGC
rnacentral:ncRNA from 2 species